AUCACUUCUCAGCUUUUUGGCUAAGAUAAUGUUAGUAUCUGUUGUUAUCAUUUUAAUACCUGAUACAUUCUCUAUUCGAGUACAAUAUAGUAAAUGGAUUUUUGGAACAGAGAGAUGGAAAGGAGCUUUCUCCAUAUCCACGUCACGCAUCAACCUUGUAUUGUACUAUCUCCAGGAAUGGUGCGCAUCCU